UACGUAGGGUGCAAGCGUUGUCCGGAAUUAUUGGGCGUAAAGAGCUCGUAGGCGGUUUGUCACGUCGGAUGUGAAACCCUGAGGCUCAACCUCAGGCCUGCAUUCGAUACGGGCAGACUAGAAUUCGGCAGGGGAGACUGGAAUUCCUGGUGUAGCGGUGAAAUGCGCAGAUAUCAGGAGGAACACCGGUGGCGAAGGCGGGUCUCUGGGGCCGAUAUUACGUGAGGAGCGAAAAGCGUGGGGGAGCAAAACAGG
rnacentral:rRNA from 1 species